rnacentral:rRNA from 1 species
CCUACGGGAGGCAGCAGUGGGGAAUAUUGGGCAAUGGAGGAAACUCUGACCCAGCAACGCCGCUUGAAUGAUGAAGGCCUUCGGAUUGUAAAGUUCUUUUCUAAGGGAAGAAGAAAGUGACGGUACCUUAGGAAUAAGCCUCGGCUAACUACGUGCAAGCAGCCGCGGUAAUACGUAGGAGGCAAGCGUUAUCCGGAAGGACUGGGCGUAAAGGGUGCGUAGGUGGUUGGACAAGUUGGUAGCGUAACUCCGAGGCUUAACCUCGGCACUACUACCAAAACUGUUGGACUCGAGGGCAGGAGGGGCAAAUGGAAUUCCUAGUGUAGCGGUGGAAUGCGUAGAUAUUAGGAGGAACACCAGUGGCGAAGGCGAUUUGCUGGACUGUAACUGACACUGAGGCACGAAAGCGUGGGGAGCAAACAGGAUUAGAUACCCCUGUAGUC